UACGAAGGGGGCUAGCGUUGCUCGGAAUCACUGGGCGUAAAGCGCACGUAGGCGGAUUUCUAAGUCAGGGGUGAAAUCCUGGAGCUCAACUCCAGAACUGCCUUUGAUACUGGGAAUCUCGAGUCCGGGAGAGGUGAGUGGAACUGCGAGUGUAGAGGUGAAAUUCGUAGAUAUUCGCAAGAACACCAGUGGCGAAGGCGGCUCACUGGCCCGGUACUGACGCUGAGGGGCGAAAGCGUGGGGAGCGAACGGG
rnacentral:rRNA from 1 species